UGAAAAUAUAAGUUAAUCUAGAUAAAAAUAAUAAUUAUUGUAAUUAUAUUACAUAAAUCUCUAUAAUCGUACUAAUUACUGUAAUUAUGCUAACAGAAAUCACACUACUGUUGUCUUCCAAUCUAGAAAAAGAAAACAACUACCAAGGCAAAAUACUAGUUGGUAAGCUCAUUUCCGAUAAAAGCCUCAGUGUUGUAAUAGUCAAAACAACCCUUUAAAAAUCUUGGCAAACCAGAUAGGAGUUUCAAGUCACAACAUGAAGGAGAAAUGUUUUGUGUUUGCCUUUGAGCAUAGGGUGGAUGCAAAUUAUGUGUUGGAAAAUAGGCUCUGGUUCAUUCAUAAUCAACAUCUCUCAAUUCAAGAGUGGCCCCCUGAUGUGUCCUUUGAAGAGCUUUCCUUUGAUUGUUCUCCCUUUUGGAUUUAGGUUUAUGGACUCCCUCCUAAACAAGUUAAUCAGCAAAAUGCAGAAAUUAUUGGGAAUAGUAUGGGACAGUUUAUGGAGGCGAAACUGACUAACGAUGGACAACUGGGAUACUGCAAUUUCAUGAGAAUAAGAGUCUCUCUCCAAGUAAACCAUCAUUUUCUAACAGGCUUCCAAAAUCUCAAACUAGAUGGUACGAAGCAGAAGGUGAAUAUCAAGUUUAAAAAAAUGCCAGACAUCUAUUAUGGGUGUGGUAUCAUAGGCCACUUAUGACAGAACUAUCCAAAAGCUGAUGAUCUCUUUGCUUCUAGAAGUGAAUCUGGGAAAGGCUCUCUUUUUGGACCUUGGUUGAAAGCCACACAACCAUAUAAGUCUCAUGCAAGAAUUUUACCUAGCACACAAGACUUGCUUUCUGUUAACCCAAUCCAAAGCCUGCAACCUACCCAAAUUCAACCUUCACACCUUAUUACAAAAAAAAAAAGCUUUGUUUACCAAAACCACAACCUACUGAAAUCAACUCAAGCAAGAACCUCACAAACACUGAUCAUUAACCACCAGAUCUCAACCCUCUUACCACAAAGGGGAAAUCGCCGAUGACCCUGGAGAACUGCCAGAACCUUGCUUGUUUAAGGAAACCUUGAGUAAAAAGCCCCCUUUUGAGCGUCCUAAGCCGAUAGCAAUAGAGUUGUUUCCUCGAGAAGUAUCCCAAAGCUUUUCAGACAAUAUCUCUCCACAAAGGGUAUAAAUCAUGUGGAUACAAAGGGCUCUUUCAAUUGAUUCCCCUAUCUGGUAAAUCAUUUUCAAACGGCAGCAAUGAAUACUCCUGCUACCCUAGACCUUCAAACGGUAGAUGGGAUAAAUGAG
rnacentral:misc_RNA from 1 species